rnacentral:rRNA from 1 species
AAUAGGGCGAACCCGUCUCUGUGGCAAAAGAGUGGGAAGACCUUACAGUAGCGGUGAAAGACCAAACGAGCCUAGUGAUAGCUGGUUGCUCAAUAAACGAAUCUUAGUUCGACUUUAGGCCAGCCCUUUACACCAAAAACCCAUCAGCCUAAAAGCUACUCAACGGGGGUACAGCCCCAUUGAGUCGGGAUACAACCCAAACUAGAGAGAAAGAACUAACCAUGCCCAUCCAGUAGGCCUUAAAGCCGCCACCAAUAAUAAAAGCGUCAUAGCACAAAACGAAAUAAAUACCAAAACAUCAAUCAACCUCCUAACGAAGCACUGAGCCAAACUAUAAUUAUAGUUGAACUAAUGCUAGAACUAGUAACAAGAAACAUUCUCUCAGGCAUACCUGUAACCCAGAAAUAGAAAACCUACUGGACUUUAACAGACCAAAACAGGGACAACAUAAUCUGUACCACCAACUGUUAAACCAACACCGGAAUGCCACCAAGACAGAUUAAAAGUUAUAUAAGGAACUCAGCAAAACUUGUCCCAACUGUUUACCAAAAACAUAGCCUUUAGCCACACAAGUAUUAAAGGUCCCGCCUGCCCAGUG